AUGAUAACGGAAGAAGAAGUCCACGGAGUUUGGGCUCAGUCAAGCAGUCUCACGUGGGCAAUGUUCUGUCGGCUUGCUUCAGAAGGACUAACGACUCCAAUUAGGGUUAAAACCAACUACUUUGUCCAUCUAAAGGUGACACUGAACCAGUUCAACAGAGGCCCACCACUUUGUUUGCUCAGCUGACAUCUGUUGACCUAAGAAGUCUUUCUUCAGUGGACUGGAUCAGCAUUUGCCAAGGUUCCUGGAGCUGUUCAAGGCCAAGAGUGGGAAAUCAGCUGGACUAAGCAGGCAGCUUAAAUGUCUUGAUGACUCCUCUAUGCUGAGGAAGAGGUCAGUUGUUCUUCCGGUGCCUUCCGUAUUUUCUCAAGGAUGAUCCUUCAAAUGCAUUCAAGACUGUUCAGGCCAUUGACGAGGAAGCCACACUCACUCGGGGAAUGAAAAUUGGAGUUCUGCUGGUGAAAGAUGGAGAGGACAUCAUUGCCACAUCAGUCAUUCUUGAGGAACAAGUGGUCCUGCCUGAUGUGGAAGACAUUCCUCAUGCCAUUGCUCUACUGAUGGGUCUGCUUUUUGCCUUUAAUAUACACUAUCCAAAGGAACUCAGGUACACAUUUGAAGUUUUUCAAAAGGUCCUGAUGAACAUCGGCGGAGGUCAGUGUUCCUCCCUUGUGCAUGGUUUGAGAAACAGACUAUUACAAAAAACCAUGUAGAUUCUCCUGAAAUGUCUCAUCUCAUGACUCAUGGAUGUCUGAGCUUUUUGAAAGCACUCAACGUUUCCUGUUAAACAUUGUUCCAAAGGUCAUAUAGAAGUUUGGCACAUGGUUUGGAAUUCUUGUUUUGUUAUUUCAUCUGUUUAGGUUUAUUCCAUCAGAAAAUAUAGUCAUAUCAGUUCAAAGCCAAUCAAAUGCAUAGGUUGAUAAAAAGUAUUGCAAUAAAGAGGUCAACAUAAGACCAAAUGAUAGAUGACAAGAUUAAAAUGUGCACUAUUUGUUUAGAACUACUAUUUUGAAUUGUAUCAUUUUGAAUUUUAUUUUAUUGUUUUUAUUUGUGCAAGGUUUUGUUAGAUGCUUUAAAAGUAUAUGCACUUGAGUUAAUGUGCAAUUACUUGUCUCAUUUAAGACACUAAAUAUGUUCUAACUAUAAGACCUUGAUGCUGUGUUAAUGUUUUUUUUUGAGUGCAGACUGUUCCAAAACGUUUUCACUAUUCAUUACAAAACAAAACAGCUUCAGUAAAUGUUGCAGAGCUGUAACUUCAUUACUGCUAAAUAAAUAAAUAAACUAGCUGAGCUGAUGAACAUGUGUGUAUUGCUUCUGUUUUUAGAGGUGAAAUUUAUCACUAAAUGGAUCAUUUUGUGUGAAAUGUACAUAAAUUAAUCAUAUAAAUGUUUUAAAUUUCCAAUAUACAGUGCCCCCAUCUUUUUGCAAUAUGGCAAAUGUUUUAAAUGAUUUAGUUAAGUUGACUUAAACAUUUCUUCCAAAUGAAUUGAUACUUUUAAAUUGAGUCAACAUACAUUUAUGGAUUACACGGACUGUACCAGUCAG